CUCACUCUGUGCCAGGCCUGUCUAUCAAGUGCCUCGCAGGCAAUGUCUCAUUUGAUCCCCAAACCCAGUGAGUGGUCUUGUCUUCUUCAUGGGGAAUCCAGGCUUCCCCAGGGCUUGACCAUAGGUCUAUGUGAAAACUGAAUGAACAGCACCCUGGCACACAGUGACAACUGGAAAACGAGAAGACUUCUCAUAUUUAAGAUUAUGACAAUUGUGGGGCAUGAUGGCGCACGCCUGUAAUCCCAGGGGCUCAGGAGGCUGAGGCAGGAGGAUCUUAAGUUCAAAGCCAGCCUCAGCAAUUUAGCAAGGUACUAAGCAACUCAGUGAGACCCUGUCUCUAAAUAAAAUACAAAGAGAGGCUGGGAAUGUGGCUCAGUGGUUAAGUGCUCCUGGGUUCAAUUCCUAGUACCAAAAAAAAAAAAAAAAACAGAUUAUGCCAAUCCUUUAUAGCCACACACAGAGAGGUUUUGAAAGGAGAUCUCUUUAUGUUGCCCAGGCUGGUCUCGAUCUUGGGUUCAAGUGGUUAUCCUGCCUCAGCUUCCCAAGUACUGGUAUUACAGGUGUGCAACACCGUACCUAGUUCAUACCUACAUAUCUAAAUAAUAAUAUAUGUGGAGAAGAACAUCUGAAAAUAUAUAAUCAAGCUAUGGAAUGGAGAAACU
rnacentral:lncRNA from 1 species